UGGGCAACCUGCCCCCGGCUCUGGGAUAACUCCAAGAAAUUGGGGCUAAUACCGGAUAUGACCGCUGACCGCAUGGUCUGGUGGUGGAAAGUUUUUCGGCUGGGGAUGGGCCCGCGGCCUAUCAGCUUGUUGGUGGGGUAGUGGCCUACCAAGGCGACGACGGGUAGCCGGCCUGAGAGGGUGACCGGCCACAUUGGGACUGAGACACGGCCCAGACUCCUACGGGAG
rnacentral:rRNA from 1 species